rnacentral:tRNA from 1 species
GAGGGUAUAGCUCAAGCAGUAGAGUGCAUGCUUAGCAUGCACGAGGUCCUGUGCUGAAGGUCCUGGGUUCAAUCCCCAGUACCUCCU